rnacentral:lncRNA from 1 species
GGAGAGCGGGCUGGGGCAUUUCUCCCCGAGAUGGCGGGUCUGACGGCGGCGGCCCCGCGGCCCGGAGUCCUCCUGCUCCUGCUGUCCAUCCUCCACCCCUCUCGGCCUGGAGGGGUCCCUGGGGCCAUUCCUGGUGGAGUUCCUGGAGGAGUCUUUUAUCCAGGGGCUGGUCUCGGAGCCCUUGGAGGAGGAGCGCUGGGGCCUGGAGGCAAACCUCUUAAGCCAGUUCCCGGAGGGCUUGCGGGUGCUGGCCUUGGGGCAGGGCUCGGCGCCUUCCCCGCAGUUACCUUUCCGGGGGCUCUGGUGCCUGGUGGAGUGGCUGACGCUGCUGCAGCCUAUAAAGCUGCUAAGGCUGGCGCUGGGCUUGGUGGUGUCCCAGGAGUUGGUGGCUUAGGAGUGUCUGCAGGUGCGGUGGUUCCUCAGCCUGGAGCCGGAGUGAAGCCUGGGAAAGUGCCGGGUGUGGGGCUGCCAGGUGUAUACCCAGGUGGCGUGCUCCCAGGAGCUCGGUUCCCCGGUGUGGGGGUGCUCCCUGGAGUUCCCACUGGAGCAGGAGUUAAGCCCAAGGCUCCAGGUGUAGGUGGAGCUUUUGCUGGAAUCCCAGGAGUUGGACCCUUUGGGGGACCGCAACCUGGAGUCCCACUGGGGUAUCCCAUCAAGGCCCCCAAGCUGCCUGGCUAUGGGCCCGGAGGAGUGGCUGGUGCAGCGGGCAAGGCUGGUUACCCAACAGGGACAGGGGUUGGCCCCCAGGCAGCAGCAGCAGCGGCAGCUAAAGCAGCAGCAAAGUUCGGUGCUGGAGCAGCCGGAGUCCUCCCUGGUGUUGGAGGGGCUGGUGUUCCUGGCGUGCCUGGGGCAAUUCCUGGAAUUGGAGGCAUCGCAGGCGUUGGGACUCCAGCUGCAGCUGCAGCUGCAGCAGCAGCCGCUAAGGCAGCCAAGUAUGGAGCUGCUGCAGGCUUAGUGCCUGGUGGGCCAGGCUUUGGCCCGGGAGUAGUUGGUGUCCCAGGAGCUGGCGUUCCAGGUGUUGGUGUCCCAGGAGCUGGGAUUCCAGUUGUCCCAGGUGCUGGGAUCCCAGGUGCUGCGGUUCCAGGGGUUGUGUCACCAGAAGCAGCUGCUAAGGCAGCUGCAAAGGCAGCCAAAUACGGGGCCAGGCCCGGAGUCGGAGUUGGAGGCAUUCCUACUUACGGGGUUGGAGCUGGGGGCUUUCCCGGCUUUGGUGUCGGAGUCGGAGGUAUCCCUGGAGUCGCAGGUGUCCCUGGUGUCGGAGGUGUUCCCGGAGUCGGAGGUGUCCCGGGAGUUGGCAUUUCCCCCGAAGCUCAGGCAGCAGCUGCCGCCAAGGCUGCCAAGUACGGGUUAGUUCCUGGUGUCGGCGUGGCUCCUGGAGUUGGCGUGGCUCCUGGUGUCGGUGUGGCUCCUGGAGUUGGCUUGGCUCCUGGAGUUGGCGUGGCUCCUGGAGUUGGUGUGGCUCCUGGCGUUGGCGUGGCUCCCGGCAUUGGCCCUGGUGGAGUUGCAGGAGCUGCAGCUGGGCUUGGUGCUGGCAUCCCUGGACUUGGAGUUGGUGUCGGCGUCCCUGGACUUGGAGUUGGUGCUGGUGUUCCUGGACUUGGAGUUGGUGCUGGUGUUCCUGGCUUCGGGGCAGUACCUGGAGCCCUGGCUGCCGCUAAAGCAGCCAAAUAUGGAGCAGCAGUGCCUGGGGUCCUUGGAGGGCUCGGGGCUCUCGGUGGAGUAGGCAUCCCAGGCGGUGUGGUGGGAGCCGGACCCGCCGCCGCCGCUGCCGCAGCCAAAGCUGCUGCCAAAGCCGCCCAGUUUGGCCUAGUGGGAGCCGCUGGGCUCGGAGGACUCGGAGUCGGAGGGCUUGGAGUUCCAGGUGUUGGGGGCCUUGGAGGUAUACCUCCAGCUGCAGCCGCUAAAGCAGCUAAAUACGGAGUGGCAGCAAGACCUGGCUUCGGAUUGUCUCCCAUUUUCCCAGGUGGGGCCUGCCUGGGGAAAGCUUGUGGCCGGAAGAGAAAAUGAGCUUCCUAGGACCCCUGACUCACGACCUCAUCAACGUUGGUGCUACUGCUUGGUGGAGAAUGUAAACCCUUUGUAACCCCAUCCCAUGCCCCUCCGACUCCCCACCCCAGGAGGGAACGGGCAGGCCGGGCGGCCUUGCAGAUCCACAGGGCAAGGAAACAAGAGGGGAGCGGCCAAGUGCCCCGACCAGGAGGCCCCCUACUUCAGAGGCAAGGGCCAUGUGGUCCUGGCCCCCCACCCCAUCCCUUCCCACCUAGGAGCUCCCCCUCCACACAGCCUCCAUCUCCAGGGGAACUUGGUGCUACACGCUGGUGCUCUUAUCUUCCUGGGGGGAGGGAGGAGGGAAGGGUGGCCCCUCGGGGAACCCCCUACCUGGGGCUCCUCUAAAGAUGGUGCAGACACUUCCUGGGCAGUCCCAGCUCCCCCUGCCCACCAGGACCCACCGUUGGCUGCCAUCCAGUUGGUACCCAAGCACCUGAAGCCUCAAAGCUGGAUUCGCUCUAGCAUCCCUCCUCUCCUGGGUCCACUUGGCCGUCUCCUCCCCACCGAUCGCUGUUCCCCACAUCUGGGGCGCUUUUGGGUUGGAAAACCACCCCACACUGGGAAUAGCCACCUUGCCCUUGUAGAAUCCAUCCGCCCAUCCGUCCAUUCAUCCAUCGGUCCGUCCAUCCAUGUCCCCAGUUGACCGCCCGGCACCACUAGCUGGCUGGGUGCACCCACCAUCAACCUGGUUGACCUGUCAUGGCCGCCUGUGCCCUGCCUCCACCCCCAUCCUACACUCCCCCAGGGCGUGCGGGGCUGUGCAGACUGGGGUGCCAGGCAUCUCCUCCCCACCCGGGGUGUCCCCACAUGCAGUACUGUAUACCCCCCAUCCCUCCCUCGGUCCACUGAACUUCAGAGCAGUUCCCAUUCCUGCCCCGCCCAUCUUUUUGUGUCUCGCUGUGAUAGAUCAAUAAAUAUUUUAUUUUUUGUCCUGGAUAUUUGGGGAUUAUUUUUGAUUGUUGAUAUUCUCUUUUGGUUUUAUUGUUGUGGUUCAUUGAAAAAAAAAGAUAAUUUUUUUUUCUGAUCCGGGGAGCUGUAUCCCCAGUAGAAAAAACAUUUUAAUCACUCUAAUAUAACUCUGGAUGAAACACACCUUUUUUUUUAAUAAGAAAAGAGAAUUAACUGCUUCAGAAAUGACUAAUAAAUGAAAAACCUUUAAAGGAAAAAAAAAAAAAAAA